GCUCUUCACUCAAACUUAUUUCCUCGAAUUAUUCUAACUUAAUUAAUCGACCCUCAAGGUUAAAAAUAACAUCAAAAACUGCAAAUUUUGAAAUGAAAUAUCCUUGCAAUUUUUGUCGUACGGUAGUCAAACUGCUUAUAACUUUAUUUUUUUUUACAACGAGUAUAAAAACUUCCCAAAUAUAAAGACCCCGUAAUUGUAAUUAGUACACUCUAAAUCCUUUAACGGGGAUCAACUGGAUGGCAAAUCUAAUGGCAGCAGCCGCGGUAAAUUUAGCUCCAUUAGCGCAUAUUAAAGUUAUUGCGGUUAAAAAGCUCGUAGUUUGAUCUCAGUUCCAGACGAGUGUUCCGCCUACCGGUGGUUACUGCCUGUUCUAAACAGCCAGCCGGUUUCCUUUGAUGAUCUUCA
rnacentral:ncRNA from 1 species